rnacentral:rRNA from 1 species
UACGUAGGGGGCAAGCGUUGUCCGGAAUCAUUGGGCGUAAAGAGCUCGUAGGCGGUUUGUCGCGUCUGCCGUGAAAGUCCGGGGCUCAACUCCGGAUCUGCGGUGGGUACGGGCAGACUAGAGUGAUGUAGGGGAGACUGGAAUUCCUGGUGUAGCGGUGAAAUGCGCAGAUAUCAGGAGGAACACCGGUGGCGAAGGCGGGUCUCUGGGCAACAACUGACGCUGAGGAGCGAAAGCGUGGGGAGCGAACAGG